CUACAAUACAUGGUACAGAUCUGAUCAACCACUAGCAUGAGUUUCACUCUCGGCUUUCGCAUAGACUAAAGAGAUAGUAAGUUUUAGUGAUUGAAACAUUCUUUUUUACAAUUUAUAAACUUAUUUUCUGUGACCAGUAUUGGUCAUUAGACAGCCGCAGCCUGUAGUUUCAUCACCUAUUAGUUCUGGUCAUACUACUGUGGCAACAGUCAUUCCCAUUGAAACUGAAGUUUUACGUUCAGGUCAGUCUUCUUUCUUACUUCCCAUCUUUCUAUCUAAGGACUACUUCACAUAACAAUGCAAUUCUUCAGUAAACAGAUGAUAUCUCAAAGACUGCAAUGUGAAGCUCCAACGAAGUUCUGAUAAAGGAGACUGCUAGAAUGAUGACAUCACAAAGUAAACUCUAAAUUUCUGUGGGGAAGGGUGGGGGCAUCAAGGCAUCGCAAGUGGGAACCUGCAAGGUGCGUCAGCUGUCGACAGUACUUUACUUUUAGUUAUAAUCAUAUUGCAUCAGCAGCAUCAUGGAUUAUGUAAAAUGAAGAGCAAGGACAGCUAACUCACAAGGUAAUAUUUGUUAAUACUCCUAUUAGUAUUUUAAUUUUUUUUAAAAUAGAUGAUGCUUGCCUUGUAAAAAUUUGAUGUGACUCUUAAUUUUGAAGUGUGAUGAUAAUUACUGCUCUGAUAAUCCUUUUUUUCGAAACACCAAAAAGGGCAAACGAGUAGCUAAUAUUAAAGUGUUCUUGUAAUCUCAAUUUAAUUAUUCCAUUGAAUUGACCUUCUACACAAAAUUUGCAACCUCUUUUAAGUGCACCAAGCAAAAUUUAAUCAUUGAUGCUCAUGUAACUCCAAUGCUCUUUUGUAGGACAUGAGUUUGCUUGCAACAGCUGAACAUGACCAAUACCUUCGAUAAUUAUGUGAACCAUUUCAUAACUUUGUAGUCUAUUUGAAGAUAGUGCCUCGUGAACUAAUUGGUUGUCA